UUCCUGUUGGGUUUCGGAUAUUGCUCCAAGAGUCUUUUUUGUAGGUACUGAUGCUUUACAUAUGUGUGCCAAUUUUCGUGCAUGUACGUGAAACACAGCUCGAGGGCUGUUGAUUUUUUUACGGUAGGUGGCGCUGUCGAGCCAUUUUGCCACACCCUCUUCUGAAACCUAUAUCAGACGUAAAUUUUCACCAGGUCUGACGCGUGUGCAAAGUUUCAGGACUUUUCGAGCAUGUUUAGGCCCUCAAAAAUGCGAUUCAUUUUGGAGAAGAAGAAGAAGAAGAAAUAUAGCUGCAAGCAGCAAUUACGGGGCCAAGC
ensembl:lncRNA